rnacentral:rRNA from 1 species
AGGGUUUGAUCAUGGCUCAGAAUCAACGCUGGCGGCGUGCCUAACACAUGCAAGUCGAACGCGAAAGUCCCGCAAGGGAUCAGUAGAGUGGCAAACGGGUGAGUAACACGUGGGUGACCUGCCUUCGAGUGGGGGAUAACGUCCCGAAAGGGACGCUAAUACCGCAUGACAUCCUGCUUUUUAAGAGGCGGAGAUCAAAGCUGGGGAUCGCAAGACCUAGCGCUUGAAGAGGGGCCCGCGCCCGAUUAGCUAGUUGGUGGGGUAAUGGCCUACCAAGGCAACGAUCGGUAGCCGGCCUGAGAGGGCGGACGGCCACACCGGGACUGAGACACGGCCCAGACUCCUACGGGAGGCAGCAGUGGGGAAUUGUUCGCAAUGGGCGCAAGCCUGACGACGCAACGCCGCGUGGAGGAUGAAGAUCUUCGGGUCGUAAACUCCUUUCGAUCGAGACGAAUUCUCCGGGGGUGAACAGUCCCCGGAGGUGACGGUACCGAGAGAAGAAGCCCCGGCUAACUCCGUGCCAGCAGCCGCGGUAAUACGGGGGGGGCAAGCGUUGUUCGGAAUUACUGGGCGUGAAGGGCUCGUAGGCGGCCAACUAAGUCGGACGUGAAAUCCCUCGGCUCAACCGGGGAACUGCGUCCGAUACUGGAUGGCUUGAGUUCGGGAGAGGGAUGCGGAAUUCCAGGUGUAGCGGUGAAAUGCGUAGAUAUCUGGAGGAACACCGGUGGCGAAGGCGGCAUCCUGGACCGGCACUGACGCUGAGGAGCGAAAGCCAGGGGAGCAAACGGGAUUAGAUACCCCGGUAGUCCUGGCCCUAAACGAUGAAUGCUUGGUGUGGCGGGUAUCGAUCCCUGCCGU